AGAGCAUAUCUUACAUCUGAACUUGUGUGCAUAUGCCAGCUAAAGUGAUCGCCUUAACCGCUAGCUGGACAACUAGAUGUCAGAAGUGCCUCCGCUGUUUGAAAUGGAAGCUAUUGUUCAAUGUAGCUCAGAGGAUUUGCAACACUGUCCUGAGGACGAUAAGGAUGAAGAGGAGGGUAGUUAGCAAUCUUAAACGGGAGCAUUGUUAAAUAGUUCUCACUUGUGUGUCAUAAUCUCAGCAGCCCAAGGAAAAAUCGUGACCUGCAUCUUAAUGCCAGCUAGGGCAUAAGUGUGCCCUUAGCACGGUAGCUCCUGAAAGCUACGGUCAGGCUUGUGCCUCUCGAGAGUGCCUUGCAAGCAAGUACAGUCCCUCCACCGAGCACUUCUAGAAUCUAAAGGCAAGAUGCAAAAAUGUACUGGCUACGCUGACAGAGGCACGCUCACACCCAAGCCUGCAGUUCGGUGACUGAGAGAGGAUUUUUUCAGAUAGUCCGCUCUCCCAUUCAUGAGGCUCUCUGAGAAAGUGUAUUCUGACAUGUAUUCUGACAUCCUUUACCUGCAAGUAAAAUGUGUUUGUGGAAAAGCCCCUAAAGAGUGAAAACUCGUUGGUUUGACAAAACGCGAAAAAAUAAACACAAACUCUUGAUUA